GACGAACGCUGGCGGCGUGCUUAACACAUGCAAGUAGAACGGAAAGGCCCUGCUUUUGUGGGGUGCUCGAGUGGCGAACGGGUGAGUAACACGUGAGUAACCUGCCCUUGACUUUGGGAUAACUUCAGGAAACUGGGGCUAAUACCGGAUAGGAGCUCCUGCUGCAUGGUGGGGGUUGGAAAGUUUCGGCGGUUGGGGAUGGACUCGCGGCUUAUCAGCUUGUUGGUGGGGUAGUGGCUUACCAAGGCUUUGACGGGUAGCCGGCCUGAGAGGGUGACCGGCCACAUUGGGACUGAGAUACGGCCCAGACUCCUACGGGAGGCAGCAGUGGGGAAUAUUGCACAAUGGGCGGAAGCCUGAUGCAGCAACGCCGCGUGCGGGAUGACGGCCUUCGGGUUGCAAACCGCUUUCGCCUGUGACGAAGCGUGAGUGACGGUAAUGGGUAAAGAAGCACCGGCUAACUACGUG
rnacentral:rRNA from 1 species